CCGCGGGGCCACCUGCCCCCGCGCCCCGGGCGGGGCCGCGCCGCCCCGCGCAGGGCAGAGCCGGGGCGGGCCGACCCCCGCCGCCGCCGAAGUUUCCCCGGGAGCCGCCGGGAAAGUUGCGUCCGGCAGCGAUCGCAACUUUGCGCGCCGGCCCCGCCGCCGCCGCCCGCAGCAUCCCCGCAGCAUCCCCGCGGCGCGGCCCGGCCCCGUUCAAACUUGGCGGCCGCCGCUCCGAGCGGGCCGGCGGAUCAAUGCGGCCGCGGCCAGCCGCGCUGGGAGCUGGGCUACAGGUUUCACCAGCCAUCGCUGGCAACAGCUUUGUCAUUUUCUAAAAAUAAGAAGCUAAAAGUUAUUGUAGAAGAAGGGGCUUUUUUUGUCCCCCGCACAAUGUGCCUUUUGUGAGUUUAAUGCCAUUCUGGGGCUCUCUAUGGCCCCGGACAAUGGGGAACUCCAGGAGGCGGCUGUGCCUCUGCCUUUUUUCUUUCUUGCUUUCUCUUUUCUUCCCCCCACCCCCUCCUCUUUUUUCCCCCUUUUUUCUUUUUCUUUUUUUUCUUUUCUUUUUUUUUUUUUUUUUUUAAGGAGAGGAUGCAACAUUCCUCCAGUCCCACCAGAACCUUUGCUUUGAUUAAAUAAAUAUUUCUCUAGCCUAACGGUAACAUUUUUCACUUUCUGCUCGGGUCCAUGUCCGAUUAUUAUUUAAAAUUUUUAUUUCCAGGAGCUUGUCCCUCCCCAUUCCAGCCCUAGCAAGAAAUGUAGAUGAACGCUGCGAACAUGGGAUUUGAAUUUUGGGAGGAGGUGAACCAGUAAAGAACCUCUAUCCAGGCUUCAGGAAUAUGGUUUUUUUCAUGUUUCUGUAAGAGGCUAUUUUUAUUAUUAGCAGAAAUGAAUCUUAAUUAAAUCAUGUCUUGAAAAUCUAAAGAAGCUCUUUUUUUUUUUUUUUUUUGCUUUUCUUUUUUGCCUUUUUUUAACCUUUUUUUAAAAAUUAUUAUUAUUUUCAUAAUAACUCAAAUAAUUAUCUUCACGGUUUGUUUCAUAGCUCUGAACGAGGAAUGCAGUUGCGGUCAGUUUUUCCAUUUGGGAGAACCUUAAUGUAGAUGUAUUUUAUACUGCAAGGUAAUAAACUGCAUGUUUGUUAGUACCUAUUAUAAUGAAAUGUCUUGAGCUUUCCCUAUUUCUUAACGUGGGGGUUGACUUCUGGAAUUUUGACAAGUCCCUUUAAGCGGGAAGGGGGUGAAGGAAGAGGACGGGUGAUCAGGAAUUUGUACUGUUGAUGCAUUGCUGGAGGUGUCUGGCGUUUGGGAGAAAGUCGCAGGUUUCAAGAUUAGGGGUUCGGUAGGUGCCACGGUUCUGGGGGUGUUGUACCUGCAGCCCUGGUGUGCCCAGGGACCCAGGCGUGCUGUGUGUGAGUUCUGGUGGCGGAUUGACUCCAGAGGGGGACCAGUUCGCGUUUAAAAGCUGCCCUUAAAAAUCUGUCACUGCCUGCUUGAUACAUGUCUGGUUUUAUGGAAGAAUAAUUGUUAAUGUACUCAUCUUUCAAAAAAAAACCCAAACAAAAAAAAUUACCCCCCAAAAAAUUCCUACCGAAACAAAACCAACCUCCCCCCCAACCCCAAGCAAAAAAAAAAAAAAAAAACCAACCAAAAAAAACCCCCAACCAAACAAAAAACAACUAAGCCCCAAACCUGGAGCCCUGUGGGAAUCAGAAUUUUUUGGGGCUGCUUGGUAAGCUACCUGGGAAGGUGCAUGUAAUUUGUAGCUGUUCUUGCAGAACGUGAACCAAACGUGGGUUGAGGAAGAAGUUGAGGUGAGAAUAAAGUAACCCUUGUCCUGAGCACUUGGGAUAACUUAGAAUAAGUGCCUCUUUUCCCCUGAGGCUGGGGAUCUGGUGGCCCAGGCUGCGGGUGCUGCCUGUGGCCACACUUUUUGCAGAGCAAAGCAAAAGGGAAUGUGUGGGGAAGUUGGGGAGCAAACGAGUGCCUGUGGAUGCUCCAGAAAUAGGCACCUCCACAGGGACGUGUGCGAGCGCGGGCUGGAGCCAUGGAUGUUGUCUCUGCGCUUGCAUCGUGAAUUCGAGCUGUGUGCCGCUGUCCUCUAAUUUCCCAUGACAACAUAUGGAUCCCAUAAAGGCAAACAUGCCGAAGUGCAUCUGUCUGGGUAGUUAACACAAACCAAACAUCCCCCGCUCGAGAUCCCGCUGCUCCUCCGGCCGCGCUGCGCGGAGCCCUCCUGCCGCAGCCCCUCGGUGCUCCCUCCGUCUUUCUUCUCCGUCGCGCUCCCGGGACGAGCCCGAGUGCCCCGAGAGGGAGGAGGGCAGCAGGCGCCGGGUCAGAGGAGCGGAGGGGUUAAGCGGGGAGAGGGGCGUGCGCCCUGCGGCCCCCCACCCUCCUGGGAGCUGGUCCAGCCCGAGCAGGCUCUGCCCCGGGGUCAAGUCCUAGGACAUCUUUCCCUCCCCUCCUGGCAAGGCAGGAGCUCAGGCAGGGAAGGGAAACAGCAGAUGAGCAGAGGGCAGAGGUUUGCCCCUCGUCCUGGACACAGACGUCUGGAGGCUGGGGAAAGAGAGAGUUCCCAGUUUUCCAGGUUGCAAAAAGAGGUGAUGAGGGGAGGCUGUGUGUGAAAAGAAGGGAAGGAACAAGUGACGGCUGCAGGACCAGAGGAUAAACCACUACGCAAACACCGAAACACAGCCAAGGAAUUAAGGGAUAAUUCGUACAGAAAUCAUUAGCUGUGUGCUUCUUGGAAAUGUGUCUGAAGAAUCAGAACAAAGCAUGGAAGGCCAGAGUCCUUGAAGGAGCUCCAAAUGAUAAAGUCUGCCAUUCAUUUUAAACACUGCGUGCAUUGUGGAAACACAGGUCAAUUUGAAGGCAUUUGUCAGAUUUCCAGUUCCCUCUGCUCCUUUGCAAUGGAAAUUUGCAAUCAAAUCCCUGUGCUGGAGUUAGGAUGUCUGCCUUGAUCAGUUUGUAUGACUAUGCCCAAAGCACUGGCCAGGCCGUAACACGAGUGGAUGUGUUUGCCAUGGAAAUAAACACUUGGAAUACAUCUAUAUGUUUCUUGGCUUUUUGAGAGAAAUGAAGAAAAAAGUCUUGGCAUUUAAUUAGGAGUCACUAACCUGAUAAAUAUUGAACAUCAUUUCUUUGUGAGCGGCUCCAUGUGCUCAGAGUACUCUAUGGAUGUAUUCCACAAUUGCACUUAUUUAAUGCCUGUAUCACCUCGUGCCUAUUGUAUUUAUGUUGUCAUCAAUGUCAGGUUUUAAUUAAACAAUUAAAUCACUGUCACAGUAA